UACGAAGGGGGCUAGCGUUGUUCGGAAUUACUGGGCGUAAAGCGCGUGUAGGCGGGUCUUUAAGUCCGGGGUGAAAUGCCAAGGCUCAACCUUGGAACUGCCUUUGAUACUGGAGAUCUUGAGUCCGGGAGAGGUGAGUGGAAUUGCGAGCGUAGAGGUGAAAUUCGUAGAUAUUCGCAAGAACACCAGUGGCGAAGGCGGCUCACUGGCCCGGAACUGACGCUGAGACGCGAAAGCGUGGGGAGCAAACAGG
rnacentral:rRNA from 1 species